rnacentral:rRNA from 1 species
AACGUAGGAGACGAACGUUAUCCGGAGUUACUGGGCGUAAAGGGCGUGCAGGCGGUCUGGUAAGUUCGGCGUGAAAUAUUCCGGCUUAACCGGGAUAGGUCGUCGGAGACUGUCGGACUAGAGGGUGAUAGAGGCGUAUGGAAUUCCGGGUGUAGUGGUGAAAUGCGUAGAGAUCCGGAGGAACACCAGUGGCGAAGGCGACACGCUGGGUCACACCUGACGCUAAAGCGCGACAGCAUGGGGAGCGAACGGG